rnacentral:rRNA from 1 species
UCUGUUGUUAGGGAAGAACAAGUGCCGUUCAAAUAGGGCGGCACCUUGACGGUACCUAACCAGAAAGCCACGGCUAACUACGUGCCAGCAGCCGCGGUAAUACGUAGGUGGCAAGCGUUGUCCGGAAUUAUUGGGCGUAAAGGGCUCGCAGGCGGUUUCUUAAGUCUGAUGUGAAAGCCCCCGGCUCAACCGGGGAGGGUCAUUGGAAACUGGGGAACUUGAGUGCAGAAGAGGAGAGUGGAAUUCCACGUGUAGCGGUGAAAUGCGUAGAGAUGUGGAGGAACACCAGUGGCGAAGGCGACUCUCUGGUCUGUAACUGACGCUGAGGAGCGAAAGCGUGGGGAGCGAACAGGAUUAGAUACCCUGGUAGUCCACGCCGUAAACGAUGAGUGCUAAGUGUUAGGGGGUUUCCGCCCCUUAGUGCUGCAGCUAACGCAUUAAGCACUCCGCCUGGGGAGUACGGUCGCAAGACUGAAACUCAAAGGAAUUGACGGGGGCCCGCACAAGCGGUGGAGCAUGUGGUUUAAUUCGAAGCAACGCGAAGAACCUUACCAGGUCUUGACAUCCUCUGACAAUCCUAGAGAUAGGACGU